rfam:Fictibacillus macauensis ZFHKF-1 Contig20, whole genome shotgun sequence.
AAGGGAUGUCUCCUUCCUUUUAUCAAUGGAGGCACUCGGCUAUGCUGUGGGCGAAGAAGGCCUUAGACGUUUGUCGUCGAGAGUAUGGUGUGAGGUUGGGUUAGAUGCCCU